rnacentral:rRNA from 1 species
UACGUAGGGGGCAAGCGUUGUCCGGAUUUAUUGGGCGUAAAGAGCGUGUAGGCGGCCAAGCAGGUCCGCUGUGAAAACUCGAGGCUCAACCUCGAGACGUCGGUGGAAACCGUUUGGCUAGAGUCCGGAAGAGGAGAGUGGAAUUCCCGGUGUAGCGGUGAAAUGCGCAGAUAUCGGGAAGAACACCCGUGGCUAAGGCGGCUCUCUAGUACGGUACUGACGCUGAGACGCGAAAGCGGUGGGAGCGAACAGG